rnacentral:rRNA from 1 species
AGAGUUUGAUCCUGGCUCAGGAUGAACGCUAGCUACAGGCUUAACACAUGCAAGUCGAGCGGUAUGUGCUUUAGUGCAUACAGCGGCAGACGGGUGAGUAACACGUAUCUAACCUUCCCCUUACUUGGGCAUAGCCUCUGGAAACGGAGAUUAAUUUCCGAUGUGGUGUACAUUUCGCAUGUUUUGCGCACCAAAGAUUUAUCGGUAAGGGAUGGGGAUGCGCUCCAUUAGGUUGUAGGUAGGGUAAUGGCCUACCUAGCCUAUGAUGGAUAGGGGUUCUGAGAGGAAGGUCCCCCACAUUGGAACUGCGACACGGUCCAAACUCCUACGGGAGGCAGCAGUGAGGAAUAUUGGUCAAUGGCCGGAAGGCUGAACCAGCCAAGUAGCGUGCAGGAUGACUGCCUUAUGGGUUGUAAACUGCUUUUUUACGGGAAUAAUUAUGAUCACGUGUGAUUAUUUGCAUGUACCGUAAGAAUAAGGAUCGGCUAACUCCGUGCCAGCAGCCGCGGUAAUACGGAGGAUCCUAGUGUUAUCCGGAUUUAUUGGGUUUAAAGGGAGCGUAGGCGGGAGGUCAAGUCAGCUGUGAAAUGUAUCUGCUUAACGGGUACACUGCAGUUGAAACUGGUUUUCUUGAGUGCGUAAGAGGCAGGCGGAAUUCGUUGUGUAGCGGUGAAAUGCUUAGAUAUGACGAGGAACUCCUAUUGCGAAGGCAGCUUGCUGGGUCGUUACUGACGCUGAUGCUCGAAGGUGCGGGGAUCAAACAGGAUUAGAUACCCUGGUAGUCCGCACAGUAAACUAUGGAUACUCUCUGCCGGCGAUACAUUGUCGGUGGCCAAGCGAAAGCGUUAAGUAUCCCACCUGGGGAGUACGUUCGCAAGAAUGAAACUCAAAGGAAUUGACGGGGGCCCGCACAAGCGGAGGAACAUGUGGUUUAAUUCGAUGAUACGCGAGGAACCUUACCCGGGUUUGAAUUGCUGAUGGCGAUAAUUGGAGACAGUUAUUUCCCUUCGGGGCGUCAGUGAAGGUGCUGCAUGGUUGUCGUCAGCUCGUGCCGUGAGGUGUCGGCUUAAGUGCCAUAACGAGCGCAACCCUUGCCGUUAGUUGCCAUCGGGUCAUGCCGGGCACUCUAUUGGGACUGCCAUCGUAAGAUGUGAGGAAGGUGGGGAUGACGUCAAAUCAGCACGGCCCUUAUGUCCGGGGCGACACACGUGUUACAAUGGGGGGUACAGUGGGAAGCUACCUGGCGACAGGUUGCGGAUCCCCAAAUCCUUUCUCAGUUCGGAUCGGAGUCUGUAACUCGACUCCGUGAAGUUGGAUUCGCUAGUAAUCGCGCAUCAGCCAUGGCGCGGUGAAUACGUUCCCGGGCCUUGUACACACCGCCCGUCAAGCCAUGAAAGCUGGGGGCGCCUGAAGUCCGUAACCGCGAGGAUCGGCCUAGGGUGAACCUGGUGAUUGGGGCUAAGUCGUAACAAGGUAGCCGUACCGGAAGGUGCGGCUG